CCUACGGGAGGCAGCAGUGGGGAAUAUUGCACAAUGGGGGAAACCCUGAUGCAGCGACGCCGCGUGAGUGAAGAAGUAAUUCGUUACGUAAAGCCCUAUCAGCAGGGAAGAAACACUGACCUUACGGUCAGCCGACGGUACCUGAGUAAGAAGCCCCGGCUAACUACGUGCCAGCAGCCGCGGUAAUACGUAGGGGGCAAGCGUUAUCCGGAUUUACUGGGUGUAAAGGGAGCGGAGAGGGGGCGCCAAGUCUGGAGUGAAAAGCCGCAGCUUAACUGCGGAACUGCCGUGGAAACUGGCGAACGAGAGUGGGGGAGAGGUAAGCGGAAUGCCUGGUGUAGCGGUGAAAUGCGUAGAUAGUAAGAGGAACGCCGAUGGCGAAGGCAGCUUACUGGAGCGUAACUGACGUUGAGGCACGAAAGCGUGGGGAGCGAACAGGAUUAGAUACCCGAGUAGUC
rnacentral:rRNA from 1 species